rnacentral:rRNA from 1 species
GAGUUUGAUUAUGGCUCAGGACGAACGCUGGCGGCGUGCUUAACACAUGAAGUCUACGAGAAAAAGGUAGCAAUAUCUUGAGUAAAGUGGCGCAAGGGGAGUAAUAUAUAAGUAAUCUACCUAUGGGUUUGGAAUAACUCGUCGAAAACGGGCUAAUACCGUAUAAUGCAGCGGCACCGCAUGGUGAUGUUGUUAAGUCUAUAUGACGCCUAUAGAUGAGCUUGUAUCAGAUUAGCUAGUUGGUAGGUAAUGGCCUACCAAGGCGACGAUCUGUAGCUGGUCUGAGAGGAUGAUAGCCACACUGGAACUGAGACACGGUCCAGACUCCUACGGGAGGCAGCAGGAGGAAUAUUGGGCAAUGCCCGCAAGGGUGACCCAGCAACGCCGCGUGGGGAUGAAUGCCGUAAGGUUGUAAACUCCUUUUGAAAAGGACGAAAAUUCCGAUCGAAUCGAGGCUUGACUGUACUUUUAGAAGAAGCCCCGGCUAACUCGUGCCAGCAGCCGCGGUAAUACGUAGGGGGCAAGCGUUGUCCGGAUUCCUGGGUGUAAAGGGCGCGUAGGCGGGUUUGUAAGUCAGAGGUGAAAUCCGCAGCUUAACUGUAGAACUGCCUCUGAUACUGCAAAUCUUGAGUUCAGAGAGAGUGGCGGAAUUCCAGGUGUAGUGGUGAAAUACGUAGAUAUCUGGAGAACACCAGUGGCGAAGGCGGCUACUUGGUCUGCAACUGACGCUGAGGCCGAAAGCGUGGGGAUCAAACAGGAUUAGAUACCCUGGUAGUCCACGCUGAAACGAUGAAUACUAGGUGUUGGAUACAUUAGUUUCCAGUGCCCCAGUUACGCAUUAAGUAUUCCACCCUGGGGAGUACGAUCGCAAGGGUGAAACUCAAUGAAUUGACGGGGAAAGGGCGAAU